UACGUAGGUCCCGAGCGUUGUCCGGAUUUAUUGGGCGUAAAGCGAGCGCAGGUGGUUUAUUAAGUCUGGUGUAAAAGGCAGUGGCUCAACCAUUGUAUGCAUUGGAAACUGGUAGACUUGAGUGCAGGAGGGGAGAGUGGAGUUCCAUGUGUAGCGGUGAAAUGCGUAGAUAUAUGGAGGAACACCGGUGGCGAAAGCGGCUCUCUGGCCUGUAACUGACACUGAGGCUCGAAAGCGUGGGGAGCAAACAGG
rnacentral:rRNA from 1 species